GACGAACGCUGGCGGCGUGCCUAAUACAUGCAAGUAGAACGCUGAAGGAGGAGCUUGCUUCUCUGGAUGAGUUGCGAACGGGUGAGUAACGCGUAGGUAACCUGCCUGGUAGCGGGGGAUAACUAUUGGAAACGAUAGCUAAUACCGCAUAAUAUUGACUAUUGCAUGAUAGUCAAUUGAAAGGUGCAACUGCACCACUACCAGAUGGACCUGCGUUGUAUUAGCUAGUUGGUGGGGUAACGGCUCACCAAGGCGACGAUACAUAGCCGACCUGAGAGGGUGAUCGGCCACACUGGGACUGAGACACGGCCCAGACUCCUACGGGAGGCAGCAGUAGGGAAUCUUCGGCAAUGGACGGAAGUCUGACCGAGCAACGCCGCGUGAGUGAAGAAGGUUUUCGGAUCGUAAAGCUCUGUUGUAAGAGAAGAACGAGUGUGAGAGUGGAAAGCUCACACUGUGACGGUAUCUUACCAGAAAGGGACGGCUAACUACGUG
rnacentral:rRNA from 1 species